AAAAAAAAAAAAAAAAAAAAAAAUUAAAUAAAUAAUUAAAAUAUAACAAAUUAUUUUGGACUUGGGUCUCCCUCAUUCCAAGCCCACAAGUCCACGAAAAUCAGCUAUAAAUAUAAGAGUUUCAGUAGGGUUUCAGACACUUGGAAAUUCCCUGAGAAUAGACUUGGAGUUCACGUGGAGUUUCAAACCUAGGAACUACUCUGCAGCAACCUUCGGGCAGCCCU
rnacentral:lncRNA from 1 species